GACCCGUCUUGAAACACGGACCAAGGAGUCUAACAUGUGCGCGAGUCACGGGGUCUUGUUUAGGCCCAGAGGCGCAAUGAAAGUGAAGGUCGGCCUCGACGCCGAUCGUGUUGGGAUUCUCCACCCCCGGGUGGGGAAGCACCAACGACCCGUCCUAUCCGAUUUAUCGGUUGGGCGGAGUGUGAGCGUACACGUUGGGACCCGAAAGAUGGUGAACUAUGCCUGGGCAGGACGAAGCCAGAGGAAACUCUGGUGGAGGUCCGUAGCGGUUCUGACGUGCAAAUCGAUCGUCAGACCUGGGUAUAGGGGCGAAAGACUAAUCGAACCAUCUAGUAGCUGGUUCCUUCCGA
rnacentral:rRNA from 1 species